UGUUUAUUCCAUCAUUCUUGCCACAGAAAGUAACUCUGGAGCUUUCUUGAUACAAAGCAUACGCUUCUGAUACAGAGACAAGUGAAAAGGCACGUGGGAAAUGCAGAGUUACUCGUAAUCCAAAAAAAAAGAACUUGCUAACUCAAAAGCGAGCUCCAAGAAGUGGAAGGAGUAGUUCAAGAAUCUGACAUUUCCGAGUUCUUUUACCUACAACCAAUAAUCAAAUAAACUUUUCGACUGCAUUCACUAGCUCCAUUCUUGGUGUCACAAUCACAUGGACUGGAAUAUGAGGUAGAGAUAUGUAGCUUCAAGAUAUAAAAAAUUGCUCAGAUACUAGUAAAUGAGCAGGGCUUGGAAGAGAUGAAAACAUAUGGAAGAACACAUAAAAGUUCACGCCCGAGAGGUUUUUAGACAAGAAGAUUGAUGUGAAGGGAAGAGAUUUUGAGCUGAUUCCAUUUGGAGCUGGGAGAAUUGGCCGGGAUUGAAACUUUGGCGUAUAGAUGGUGCACCUAAUGUUGGAUUCUAUUAUACACUGAUUUGAAUGGAAGCUAGCAGAUGGCGUUAAACCAGAAGAUAUGAACAUGAGUGAGAAUUUUGGCCUCACAAUACACAAGGCUGAGCCCCUUCUAGCAGUAUGUACCUUGUCAAUAGCGUAAUGUUGCCUUUCACUUAAGUUUGAGUUCUAAAUAUUUCUGUUUUCUUUUGA